UAUCCCUCACCUCACUACACCAGUG
rnacentral:misc_RNA from 1 species